rnacentral:snRNA from 1 species
CUAACUGGUAAACACGAACACACAUUCUGUUCUAAUCGGUGUGAAAACUGGUUUCCCUGCUUUUGGUGGGGUCUUUUUCACAUUCAUUUUUGGAACUACUGCUUUAGGUUAGCUUGCUAGCCAAUCGCGGUACGGUCUCCGGGGGCUUUCACCCAUCCCCCGCGAGGCCAACUACAC